UGGGGAAUAUUGGACAAUGGGGGCAACCCUGAUCCAGCCAUGCCGCGUGAGUGAUGAAGGCCUUCGGGUUGUAAAGCUCUUUCGGUGGGGACGAUGAUGACGGUACCCACAGAAGAAGCCCCGGCUAACUUCGUGCCAGCAGCCGCGGUAAUACGAAGGGGGCGAGCGUUGUUCGGAAUUACUGGGCGUAAAGGGCGCGUAGGCGGCGCACCAAGUCAGGCGUGAAAGCCCUGGGCUUAACCCAGGAAUUGCGUUUGAGACUGGUGUGCUCGAGUGCAGGAGAGGUCGGCGGAAUUCCCAGUGUAGAGGUGAAAUUCGUAGAGAUUGGGAAGAACACCGGUGGCGUAGGCGGCCGACUGGACUGUAACUGACGCUGAGGCGCGAAAGCGUGGGGAGCAAACAGGAUUAGAUACCCUGGUAGUCCACGCCGUAAACGAUGUGCGCUAGCCGUUGGGGGCCCUAGGCCCUCGGUGGCGCAGCUAACGCAUUAAGCGCACCGCCUGGGGAGUACGGCCGCAAGGUUAAAACUC
rnacentral:rRNA from 1 species